UAAAUACUCCCUCCGUCUGGAAAUACUUGUCAUCAAAAUGGAUAAAAAGAGAUGUAUCUACAUUUACUUUUAUCCAUUUUAAUGACAAGUAUUUCCGGACGGAGGGAGUAUUUG
rnacentral:pre_miRNA from 1 species